rnacentral:rRNA from 1 species
GAUGAACGCUGGCGGCGUGCCUAACACAUGCAAGUCGAGCGGACGGACGAUAAGCGCGCGGUACUGAUGUUAGCGACGGGCGGGUGAGUAACGCGUGGAUAACCUUCCACUUAGGCUUGGGUAACUUCGGGAGGCCGGAGCAACUACUAGAUGAUAUUUUGAACGGGAUGGUUCAAAAGUUAUUGAGGGGUUGGCUGACACUGAGAGCUGGCUCCGCGCUGGAUUAGCUAGGUGGUAAGGUAACGGCGUAGCGAGGCAACGAUGCGUGGCCGACCUGAGAGGGUGAUCGGCCACACUGGAACUGGGACACGGUCCAGACUCCUACGGGAGGCAGCAGUAGGGAAUCUUCGGCAAUGGGCGAAAGCCUGACGCAGCAACGCCGCGUGAGUGAUGAAGGUCUUCGGAUCGUAAAGCUCUGUUAUUGGGGAAGAACAUAUGUGUAUGUAACUGUAGACAUCGUGACGGUACCUAAACAGAAAGCAACGGCUAACUACGUG